rnacentral:SRP_RNA from 1 species
GCUGGGCACGGUGGCUCAUGCCUGUAAUCCCAGUACUUUGGGAGGCCGAGGUGGGUGGAUCACCUGAGGUCAGGAGUUCGAGACCAGCCUGACCAACAUGGAGAAAUCCCAUCUCUA